AUUGAACGCUGGCGGCAUGCCUUACACAUGCAAGUCGAACGGCAGCACGGGAGCUUGCUCCUGGUGGCGAGUGGCGAACGGGUGAGUAAUACAUCGGAACGUACCCUGAAGUGGGGGAUAACGUAGCGAAAGUUACGCUAAUACCGCAUAUUCUGUGAGCAGGAAAGAGGGGGAUCGCAAGACCUCUUGCUUUAGGAGCGGCCGAUGUCGGAUUAGCUAGUUGGUGAGGUAAAGGCUCACCAAGGCGACGAUCCGUAGCGGGUCUGAGAGGAUGAUCCGCCACACUGGGACUGAGACACGGCCCAGACUCCUACGGGAGGCAGCAGUGGGGAAUUUUGGACAAUGGGCGCAAGCCUGAUCCAGCCAUGCCGCGUGAGUGAAGAAGGCCUUCGGGUUGUAAAGG
rnacentral:rRNA from 1 species